CUAUUCACUUGUGAACAUCAAAUUGUCGUUCUCACACUGAAGAACAAUAUUCCAACCUUAGCUACAAUGGGGUGUCAUAAUUCUUUGAAGCACGAAGACUACUGUUGACACUUGAAGAUAUGUGAAGAUUAAUCAGAUCCAAGGGAUCAGACGCAAUAGAGUACUGAACUGGGAACGACUGAAAGGACUAUUGGAAACAUACUUUGACGUCAUCCCCAAUGGAUCUAAAUGUCGUCCUUUUAACUCGAACUGUUUUUUUUUUUAGAAAGAAACGAAAAGAAACUGUUUGGAUUUAAAACAAGACACUUUGGAACGGAAAUACAAGGUUCUAUUUUCAGAUGAUUGGACUAACAAAAAGAAGCUUUGCUCGGCCGUUUUUCUCUGAAUCUCCACUUGGUCAAUUGGGAAAAACGCCAAUAAUUGCUAGACCCGCAAUACCAUUUAUACAAUCACGGAGAGGCGUGCAGAUAACACCACGCAAAUUGCUAAUUGGGAUUCAGAUCCGACAGGCUUCACCUUUCCAGAGAAAACAGUAGAAUCACGAAAUUUAAGAACUACAUCGAUGGGUCCCUAGGAGAAUUCCACUGCCGAUGCAAGUGACGUGCCUGCUUCAGGUGUCAAUUGUUCUAAGGGCAACGAUGAUAAUAUUGAUAUUUUAAUUUCCAUGCAUAUCAAUAUGAAAUAACUAAAUGUUCUUGUUGCAAUCUA